rnacentral:rRNA from 1 species
AUGUCGGGUCGGCUUGCUUCCGUGCCGGAGGAGACCACCUCCGGCUACGAGGCUCUCUCCCUCUACCGCCGUCGGAUCCGGACCAUCGACGUGUCCGCGGCACAGACAACAUCGCCUUUCUUGUCCGCCUACCAGUCCGGUCAUAGCGGAUCCAGCUACUCCAGCUACACCGGUACCUCGAGUUCUGAUCACAUGUCCAACAACUCCGGCAGCUCCCCCCGUUGGGUGUCUGCCGCCGCUACGGACUUGGGCGCCCACGAGCUCGCCAUGGUCGCUCGGCAAAUGGUCAGCGACGGCUACAUCGAGCGCUUGGUUCAAGCAGCAAAUGACACCACUUGUCCCAUCCAGGAAUAUGGAUACGGCCUCGGCAAGCACCGCGUUGUGGACAAUUGGUUCUUUGAGCUUGACGUGGACUGGGUUCUCCGAAUCCAAAGCAAGCAUGACUUAUCUCAGCAACUGCAGCUCCAAGACAAGUCAGCGUCAUGGCUCCAAAACUAUGUGGAGCGAUGGGUUCGAGCUCUCAUGGUGAUUGCCUAUAGUAUCCAAGAGAUACUCGCGGUCACCUCAUUUGGCAGCACGGGCAUCAACAAUAUGGUCGUCUUCGUGGAUGCCAUCAUCCCUCUUCUCAAGGUGGAGAAUCUACGGCACCUGCUAAAUAUGUAUGUAUGUGUGUCCAAAGCUUGGUACAUUAUGACGCCUCCAGAAGACCAAAGCAUAAUCAACCACAUAGUCGGCCCGCUGCCGAGAGCAAUGAACAAGCUAAGCGAUGCCAUAUCCAGCACGAUGGAGCAGGUGAGGACACUCAUGGAGGAUGACAACUCGUGGGCUAUCGAGAUUCCGCGAGGAGGAGGUGGGGUUCACAGGAACACCCAGUUGAUGGUGGAUUACAUUGUGACCAUGAGAGAAGCAUUGGCGUCGAUGCUAAACUCUGCACCAAGCCAAACCACUGUAAAUCUUUGUGCCCUGAUAGAAGACACGACUGGUUAUCUUAAGGAUCUUCUUCUGAGAAAGUCAGAGCUAUGCUUGGACCUAAGCCUGAGGUACCUAUUCCUGCUCAACAAUUUCUAUUUUAUAGCACAGGUGCCUGAGCCUUCGGGAUCGUUAAAUCUUGAAAUAUGGUCUGGACACCACAGCGGACUUAAUCUUUCGCCUGAAUGCGAAAAGUACAUGGAUAGCUAUCUUGAUGUUUCGUGGGGUCAUGUGCUGUCCUGCAUACCGCAUUCGAAUUCUCGUGGACCAUUCCAUUGUUUGAUCAACACAUCUUCGCUAGUUAAAUUUCAGUCGGCGUUUCACAAAACAUACCAGGCCCAGAAGUUCUGGAAGGUUCUCGAUCCUCGGCUCAGAGAUGCAAUGCGGAGAACUAUCACCGUAAGAGUCAUUUCAGAUUACCGCGACUACCUGGAGGAGCAUCCGGAGGUUGAGAAACACGUUAGCAGCGGAAGCAACAGUCCCGACAUUUUGGAAGAGAUGCUAGGGGAGCUAUUUGAAGGAUGA